rnacentral:lncRNA from 1 species
CAGCGUCUAAGCAGUGCUUCUGGGGAUCAUCCUGGCACCUCUGGUGCCGUGCUGAGAAACUUAGGCAGGUGCAGCUCUCUCGGCACCCAGCCAACUUCGGCCUCGUUACUGUGGCCGCUUAGCACGUGGCUGCCCACGGCUGUAGGGCUCACUCUUCUGCCGGCAGCCAUGGCAAGCCGUCCUGGAGAGAGGUAAGUGUUCGUGUCCCAGAGACUGCAACUCCCAGCCUUGCAGUUAAGCUCAAAGCCGCCGGGGCACGGCUAGGAAAGCCCAGCUAUGCAGGGCCCUAGGGGUGGCGGCGCUCUCCUCGCCCGAUGCCCCCCGCCCCGUUCCCAAGCGGACCAAUCUUCCGAGCGGGGCAGCCAGGCUGCCGCGGGGAGAUGGCGCCAGGUAGGGAGCCCGAGGACGGGGCCGGUGUUGUUGUCGCCGCAGGGCGAGGGCAGAAGGGCACGGCACGGCACGGCUGCUCCGCGCGCCCCCGCCCCAAGGCGGGAGUGGUGGUACGCGCCUCUUCCCCGCCUCCUCCCCAGCCUUGAACGAGGCGCUGGACGCUUUUCCCGGCGGGAGGAAGCGCACGAAAUAAAAACAAGUGUGUCCGCGCUGAGGGAGGGGGAUUUCUGCAUCCCCUCACCGACCGAGCCGCUGUGCCCUGUUGCGGAGCCGGGAAAGCGAGGCUGACAACAGGUUGUCUGGAGAGUUGGCUGGUGGACAAACUGAGGUAUGUUCAUUCCUCAGCAAUUCAACCUACUUUAUAUGCUGAUGUUUCUGAAGUAAUGUUUUGAACUUGGAAGAAGGUAA